rnacentral:rRNA from 1 species
AUGGCGCCACACCAGCGGGGCGCCGUGGGAGGGAAGGAGGAGAAAGCCCGGCUCCUGGAUGUCGACGAGAUCGUCGAGGCGCCAGGAGCCGCGCGUGGCCGCGUGCCGGUGCCGCCGUGGUCGGAGCAGCUGACAGCGCGCGGCCUGGUUGUGAGCGUGGCCGUCGGAACCAUGUACAGCGUCAUCGUCAUGAAGCUGAACCUCACCACGGGUCUCAACCCUACUCUCAACGUCUCCGCCGCGCUCAUCUCCUUCGUCAUGCUCCGCGGGUGGACGCAGGCCCUCGCCCGCCUCGGCAUCCCCGUCAAACCGCUUACGAGGCAGGAGAACACCGUUGUCCAGACCUGCGCCGUCGCCUGCUACAGCGUCGGCGCUGCAGGAGGGUUUGGGUCCUACCUGCUUGGGCUCAACAAGAAGACCUACGAAAUGUCGGGAGUGGAUAUGGAAGGCAACGUGGGGCACAAGGAGCCUGGCCUUGCGUGGAUGAUCGGUUUCCUCCUCGCCGUGAGCUUCGUAGGCAUUCUUGCGCUCGUCCCUCUAAGGAAGAUUUUGGUAAUUGACUACAAGUUAAUUCACCCAAGCGGGACAGCAACCGCCGUGCUUAUAAAUGGAUUUCAUGCAGCUCAGGAAGAUCAACUGGCAAAGAUGCAAGUGAAAGGAUUUACAAAAUACUUUACAAUCAGUUUCUUUUGGAGCGUGUUCCAGUGGUUCUUCUCUGGUGGAGAUAAUUGCGGGUUUUCGCAGUUUCCCACUCUUGGACUACGAGCUUGGAAACAUACAUUCUUCUUCUAUUUCAACCUCACAUAUGUUGGCGCUGGGAUGAUUUGUCCGUACCUUAUCAAUGCGUCUCUACUUCUCGGUUCCGUCCUGUCUUGGGGUGUAAUGUGGCCACUGAUAGCUGGUUUGAAAGGGGACUGGUAUCCGGCAGAUUUACCAGAAAGCAGCAUGAGAAGCCUGCAAGGAUACAAGGCCUUCAUCUGUGUAGCUCUGAUCCUAGGGGACGGCGUAUACAAUUUUACCAAGAUUUUUGUGACCACAAUUAAGAGUCUAGUUGCAAAAUCAUCAACACAGAAGAAUGAAAAGAUAGAGCAAGAUAUCGAUGACAUUCAGCGUAGUGAAGUUUUUGCAAGAGACAGUCUCCCUAACUGGCUGGCCUGCUGUGGUUACGUUGUAUUAGCAAUUGCAGCAGCAAUCACCGUUACCUUGAUGUUCCCUGAGAUGAAGUGGUACUAUGCAGUUAUGGCCUACGUUUUGGCUCCUGCCCUCGGUUUCUCCAAUGCCUAUGGAGCCGGCCUUACUGACAUCAACAUGGCCGCAAAUUAUGGCAAGAUUGCGCUACUCGUUCUUGCGGCCACAGCUGGAAAGGAUUCUGGCGUUGUCGCUGGCCUGGUAGGCUGCAGUAUGGUGAAAUGCUUGACGUCGAUAUCUGCCGAUCUGAUGCAGGAUUUCAAAACUGGACAUCUUACAUUGACCUCGCCAAGAUCAAUGCUUAUUGCUCAGAUCAUUGGAACCGCCAUGGGGUGUGUUAUCUCACCACUGACAUUCUUUGUGUUCUACAGAGCCUUUGACAUAGGCAACCAAGAAGGGCCCUGGAAGGCGCCGUAUGCUCUAAUAUACCGGAACAUUGCGAUUCUUGGAGUCGAAGGCUUCUCGGCUCUGCCCAUGCAUUGCUUGAAGCUGUGCUAUGGUUUCUUUGGCUUUGCUGUGGCCGCCAACCUUAUGAGGGACUUCCUUCCUUCCAAGUAUGCUAGAUGGGUUCCGCUACCAAUGGCAAUGGGAUUUCCUUUCCUUGCAGGCGCGAGCUUUGCCAUUGACAUGUGUGUCGGGAGCUUGAUAGUCUAUGUAUGGAACAAGAUUGAUAGACGUAAUGCGGUACCAAUGGUGCCAGCAGUUGCAUCUGGUUUGAUAUGUGGGGAUGGUCUUUGGAUCUUCCCUGCAUCCUUACUUGCACUGGCCAAGGUCAAUCCACCAAUGUGCAUGGCAUUUGCUUCUACACACUAA